GAGUGUCUUAGACCUGUCUUAGGCUGGCUUACACAGCAGUCAUCCUUAAUUUCCUAUCUGGAUGCCUUCUACUAUCCACUCUAGAAAAGCUAUAUUUUUCUUUUCCCAGCCUCCCCUGUAUCUCAUGAUGGAGGAUAUCCUUUUAGCCAAUAGAACAUAAAAAGAAUUCUCCUGAGAGUUUUUAGGGAAAGUUUUGGUUUACUGAUAGACAGAAGCUGCUGGAAACAUUCUCUCUUCUUCCUACUUCGAAUGCCUGUGUCUGGGUCAGCGAUUUUGUGACCGUGAGGAAUAAUCAUGCUAGAAAAUUCAAAAGAAUCGCAGGACUUCUCAAAGAUGCAGAUCCUGACCUGAAUGAGCCCCUCCACAAGAGCUGGCAGCUGCCUACACCAGUCUUCCAGGGUAUGAGUACUAGUGAUAACCGGUAUUUGCUGAAUGUCCUCUGUGGACCAGGCAACCACACUUACCACUCCGCAUGGAUUACCUCAUUAGUCCUCACCCCAGCAAUCCUCUGAGGAAGCUGCUCCUCUUCUCUCCAUCUCCAGCAAGGAGAGCUACUCCAAGGGAGGUACAGAAUCUGCCAGGAGUCACACAGUGAAGGAGCAUUGAAGAUGGAAUUUGAACUCAGGCCACCAUUCCAGCCCUGCUGCUGAAGAAAUGAUGGUAGACUUGCUGUGUAUGCUCCCAGUCAUGUUCCUAAGAUAAGUUACUAAGUAAAACAGUGGUGCGGAAUUGACAUCCACAAUUGGAGAUACUCAGGUCCUUUAACUCAGGUCCUCAAGAACAUCCCUUUCUGGAUUAAAAAAUGAAUACCUACUAGGGGCGCCUGGGUGGCACAGCGGUUAAGUGUCUGCCUUCGGCUCAGGGCGUGAUCCCGGCAUUAUGGGAUCGAGCCCCACAUCAGGCUCCUCCGCUAUGAGCCUGCUUCUUCCUCUCCCACUCCCCCUGCUUGUGUUCCCUCUCUCGCUGGCAGCCUCUAUCUCUGUCAAAUAAAUAAAUAAAAUCUCUAAAAAAAUAAAUAAAU
rnacentral:lncRNA from 1 species